rnacentral:lncRNA from 1 species
UGAAAGCAGUGUGAAUCGAUGUUCUAAAAAGUAGUCUAGACAGCUAGCCAGCACCACGAUUAAUUACUAAAUGAUUAGAAAAUCAAGUAUGGCAUCAACGUGGGUUUAGGCAGAAUAAGUGUUUGUUUUUUUUUUUAAUUAACUUUGAGUCUUGACUCACCCUUUCCCAGACAGAAAAAGGAAACCAAUAAUGCGAUGUGGUCGUCUCUUUUUGCCAUAGUUCUUUGAUGUUUUCAAUAAAU